rnacentral:rRNA from 1 species
UAGGGAAUCUUCCGCAAUGGGCGAAAGCCUGACGGAGCAACGCCGCGUGAGUGAUGAAGGUCUUCGGAUCGUAAAACUCUGUUAUUAGGGAAGAACAAAUGUGUAAGUAACUAUGCACGUCUUGACGGUACCUAAUCAGAAAGCCACGGCUAACUACGUGCCAGCAGCCGCGGUAAUACGUAGGUGGAAAGCGUUAUCCGGAAUUAUUGGGCGUAAAGCGCGCGUAGGCGGUUUUUUAAGUCUGAUGUGAAAGCCCACGGCUCAACCGUGGAGAGUCAUUGUAAACUGGAGGACUUGAGUGCAGAAGAGGAAAGUGGAAUUCCAUGUGUAGCAGUGAAAUGCGCAGAGAUAUGGAGGAACACCAGUGGCGAAGGCGACUUUCUGGUCUGUAACUGACGCUGAUGUGCGAAAGCGUGGGGAUCAAACAGG